rnacentral:rRNA from 1 species
AUGCACGCUGGCGGCGUGCUUCACACAUGCAAGUCGAGCGAGAAGUUUUGAAAAGAUUCUUCGGAUGAAAUUUAAAAUGGAAAGCGGCGGACGGGUGAGUAACGCGUAGGCAACCUGCCCCAUACAAAGGGAUAGCAUUUGGAAACGAAUAUUAAUACCUUAUGAAACUUAACUAGUGCAUGCUAGGUAGGUCAAAGAUUUAUCGGUAUGGGAUGGGCCUGCGUCUGAUUAGCUAGUUGGUGAGGUAACGGCUCACCAAGGCGACGAUCAGUAGCCGACCUGAGAGGGUGAGCGGCCACAUUGGAACUGAGACACGGUCCAAACUCCUACGGGAGGCAGCAGUGGGGAAUAUUGCACAAUGGGGGAAACCCUGAUGCAGCAACGCCGCGUGAACGAUGAAGGCCUUUGGGUCGUAAAGUUCUGUUCUAGGUGAUGAAAACUGACAGUAACCUAGGAGAAAGCCCCGGCUAACUCCGUG